rnacentral:rRNA from 1 species
GGGAUUGCCUCAGUAACGGCGAGUGAAGCGGCAACAGCUCAAAUUUGAAAUCUGGCCCCUUCGGGGUCCGAGUUGUAAUUUGUAGAGAGUGUUUCGGGUGAGACCACGGUCUAAGUCUGUUGGAACAUUACGUCAUAGAGGGUGAGAACCCCGUAUGCGACCGUGGCUCGAGCCCAUGUGAAGCCUCUUCGACGAGUCGAGUUGUUUGGGAAUGCAGCUCAUAAUGGGUGGUAAAUUUCAUCUAAAGCUAAAUACUGGCUGGAGACCGAUAGCGCACAAGUAGAGUGAUCGAAAGAUGAAAAGCACUUUGGAAAGAGAGUCAAACAGUACGUGAAAUUGUUGAAAGGGAAGCGCUGGCAACCAGACCUGUCCGUGGGCGAUCAGCCGCUGUUCUCAGCGGUGCACUCGUUCCACGAUCAGGCCAGCAUCGGUUUCGGCGGCCGGAUAAAGGCCUGGGGAACGUAGCUCCCUCUCGGGGGAGUGUUAUAGCCCCGGGCGUAAUGCGGCCAGUCGGGACCGAGGACCGCGCUUCGGCUAGGAUGCUGGCGUAAUGGUUGUCAGCGACCCGUCUUGAAACACGGACCAAGGAGUCUAACAUCUAUGCGAGUGUUUGGGUGUCAAACCCAUGCGCGGAAUGAAAGUGAACGGAGGUGAGAACCCUUUAGGGCGCAUCAUCGACCGAUCCAGAUGUCUUCGGAUGGAUUUGAGUAUGAGCAUAGCUGUUGGGACCCGAAAGAUGGUGAACUAUGCCUGAAUAGGGUGAAGCCAGAGGAAACUCUGGUGGAGGCUCGCAGCGGUUCUGACGUGCAAAUCGAUCGUCAAAUUUGGGUAUAGGGGCGAAAGACUAAUCGAACCAUCUAGUAGCUGGUUCCUGCCGAAG